ACCCAUCCUUGCCUGCUGCUUCCUGGGCUGCUACUUGUAUCUUCAUUCCUUACUGCUUCUCUAGCCAUUUGAAUCAUCUUUUUAAACUGCCUUCUGCUCCUAAAAUGAUCACUCUGUCAUCUGGGAAAGGCUAAACAUGUAAAAGCAUUUUCAUUUCUGUAGCAUUCACUUUCAUUUACUCUCUUCUUUCUAUUCAAGUCAAGCAGCACAGAGUGCUGUGUAAAUAGCAAAGCCUGUACGACAUCCAGUUUUGAAGUAUUUUUAAAAUACAGUAUUGAAAAAAGAAGAGACAAACUGCAAGGAAAAUGCUAAGCUGCUCCUGAGCCUGAUGACGAUGUAGGUAUUUUGUCUUGGUUACCUGAGCAAUCUCCAGAAGCUUGAAUGGAUUACAAUAAUAUUCUAACAAGGCUGCAGGCAUCCUCAACAGCUUUCAUCUACAGAAGAAGAUAAGAGAUGGAAGAAUGUAAUUAUUUCCAUGUAAGCUAAAUUCCAGUAGCUGACUGCCAUGAUAGGGAAAGCCCUGAAAACUUCGCUGUCUUAAAUGUUUUCAUCUCAUAUAAAACAAAUAGUGGAAAAAUUUGCCAAGGUUUCCUGCAGGGCAACUGAACAUACAAGUGCGGAGAGGUGGAAGUAGGAGAGAGACAGAAACCAAAACCUCUGGAUCUUCGUCUUCUCGGUGCUGCUACUGCUGAGGCUGUGGUGAAGUCCCUCUGACACCACAUAUCUGGGAAUGAAGAACUUCUCAGAGCUGAUUGGAAAUGGCAUUGCUGCGCUGAAACUUAACUGGAGGAAAUACAUCUCCCGAAGAAGAAAAUAUAAUGCACUUUAAGGAUCUGACUUCUGGUGAAAAAUUCAAGCCUAGAGAAAACUUGUCCGCUUUAUUAAGAAGAAUGGGUUGGACAAUCUUCUUCAAUUCCAAAGGAUAUCUGAACGCCAUGCUGAGCUUAAUCUCUGCAGCAUGCUCUGUGCUUCUCUUCUCCUCCUGAUGCACUGCAUGCCCCAUCUGCGACUGUCUCACAACCUAGCCUGGCAUCACACUCCCAGAGGCUAGCGAGGAUUAGGCAUAGGAAGAAGAGGACACGGGAGGACAUGUUCUCAGAGCUUAUGGCCUGCUCCCGAGCCCAGGCAGCACAGCAGACCCAGUGGCGGGAGAACUUGUCCCAAAUGCAGCAAGCAAACAUGGAUCGGGAGGAGAGGUGGCGGCAGGAAGACCAGCAGGCGACUCAAACCCUGCUUGGACUACUGAGGGAGCAAACGGACACGCUCCGGCGCCUUGUGGAUGUUCUGCAGGAACGGAGGCAGGAGGACAGAGCCCCACUGCAGUCCAUCUCUAACCGCCCUCCCCCGCCACCAAGUCCCAUACCCCCCUCACCCAAAGUGCACAGAAGGAGAGGCAGCAGAGUCCACGCAAACUCUCACUCCACCCCUGCAGAGAGCUCUAGUAGCAGAAGGCUCUCAUUCCCCAAAAUUUGACAAGUUCUUUCCUUCCCGCCUGA